UCUAAAGAAAUAAAAGAAAGGUUACUUAAUUCAAUAGGAAAUCAUAUUCAUUAAGAAGUUGGGAAUGAGUAAUAUUUGUAAGUAGCAGUUUUGGUGUCAGAGUUCAUACUUGCAUUCUUAAAUCAUCUAUUCAAAUACUUAAUUUUCCAACCAUGGAGACCAACACUGCAAAAAAUACAUUCUCAUUACAAAGAAGAUAUCCAGUAUUCUAAAUGUCUCUUCACUUCUGUCUAUAAAAGAUGCAGAAGCAGCUUACUAGAUUUGAGCAUUGGUACCCAAACUCCUUUUCUGCAUGUCAGGUCCACAAAUCCUUUCUACUAUGAAGUGCAUUAAAUGAUCAACUGUUAAAAUACCAAAACCGGAAUACUUAUACUCAAGGGCAACAUAUCUGUUCUUUUAAAGAACAAGAUAUAAAUCAGAAGGAACAACUUAAUAGCUUAACUCAGCAGCAUGAGAACACGGUUCACUGAAUCUCUACAACAUAUUACCUAAAGUUUUGGAAGCAUCUUCUCAAACUCUGGCAGUAAAUCAUGUUAAACUUGUUGAUCACAGCACCCUGCUAAGCAGCACUCUCCCAAACAACAACUGCCUCUUCCUUGUAAGCAAUUCCAGGUGAAUCAGAUCAGAAAAAAAACAUUAUUCAUUAGAGUGGGGAAAUUAAAAAAUCAGCUUCUGUCCUCCACACUAAUUACAAUCUAUUAUGUGAUUGCCACCACACAAUGAAGCAUCACACUUGUGCCUGUCCCAUCUGAAGUGUAAGGGUCACCCCAUGGCUAUAGUCACAGGGCAGUAUGUUCUCCAGUAUAGGAGAACAGUGUACUUUAGCAUGUAUACUUAUAUGUUCUAAGCUUUGAAUCACACUCAACUUCAGUUGGCAGUCUAUGCCCAAAGGCUGCAAUGGCUGGAGAAAGAGGAAGGAUAUAUUAAAAAAAAAAAAAAAAAGUCUGAAAGAAACAACCCCCAACACCCAGGAAAAAAAAGUCAUAGAAAGAUUGUUCCAAAAAGGCAUCUAACUAAAAAAACCAAUCCAAAUCAUUACCAAACACACUGUAUCUCUAAUAGAUUGUGGAGAUGUCUUAAAAUUUCCUCUAAAUUCAUGAGCUACUUUCAAGAACGAGUUUGUCCUAUUUCACUUGGAUGAUUUAACUGCAAGACUGAAAGAGCUUUCCCAUUAACAGUUUCUUUUUCAUCUUAUCUGGGAGCAGAUAAGAUGAAUAAAUUAAAAUUCUUAAACCUCAUCAAGGUCAAUUUCUUACCCUUCCUGCACCUUCUUCUAAACCCAUGCUACUGACAUUUUCAGACCAAACUACUUCUUGUACACUAAUCAAACUGCAUUCCUGAAUGGUUUUUAUCGGGUAUUAGCAAAAAGUUCUUCACUGAGAGAACUGCCAAGCAUUGGAACAGGCUGCCCAGGGAAGUGGCUGUCACCAUCCCUGGAGGUAUUUAAAAGAUGUGUAGAUAUGGUGUUUGGGGACUUGGUUUAAGGGCAGACUUGGUAGUACAAUUGGAUUCAAUGAUCUUAAGGGUCUUUUCCCAACCUACAUGAUUCUAUGUCAAGUACUAAAUAAUAUUUCCUCCUUAAUUACUUUAUUUAUGCAUUUCUAAAUAAACUCCUCUAGAUCACGAGAUUCUCUGUGUUUGCUAAUUAAAUUUCUACUCAAUGAAUACCAACACAUGCAUCUUGUUUCUUUCAAAAUUACACACUGAAUAGCAGAAAUGCUGCAAAGCAAUGUGUUGUGCAUUGUUAUAAUUCCAGAAAUGUGCACGUGUUGAGUUCCAUGCUUUGUCACAUUCUUGGUAAUUCAUACUUUCUCCCCAUUUCCCUGAGAGCUUUAAGCAGUUGAAAUCUCACAACAGUACACAGAUGAACGCCAGUUCUAUUUCAGAGCUUACAAAAAUUAUGUAUUUGUCUUAUUUCCAUCAUAUUUAUCUUUUUUAUUUCGUAAUGUCUUGUUUCUAUCAGUUUGUAUUUAAGGGCAAAUUUUUGUGAUAUUGUGGCAACACAGAUGAAAAACUCCACAACACUUUCAAGGUCUUUGAUCCUGCUGAUCUUGUAUAACCUACAUCUAUGUAACCAUUUCUGAGCCAUUUCCAGACUGACCUCAUCAAAAGGAAAUAAAACCCUGGGUAAAAAAAAAAAAAA